AAAGCUCCAGUGCAGUCAGAAUAAUCCAAGAGAGGGCAGGGUCAAACUCCCGCCUCUAGCUACACCUGUAGAGAGCCUGUCCCACAGCUUUAGUCUGCUGUCUUCAGACGACUGGAUUAAGAAAAGACAGGGGUUGCAAACUAUUCAGUCUCUGGCAAAGCACCACUCGGACAUCCUGAAGACUAAACUGCAUGAAGUGUGUCUGGUCCUCAUUGAGGAGGU